rnacentral:sRNA from 1 species
AAAGAUGAUUUAAAAA